rnacentral:rRNA from 1 species
GACGAAGGGGGCUAGCGUUGUUCGGAAUUACUGGGCGUAAAGCGCGUGUAGGCGGUUGUUCAAGUCAGGUGUGAAAGCCUUGAGCUCAACUCAAGAAAUGCACUUGAUACUGGAUGACUAGAGGACCGGAGAGGAUAGUGGAAUUCCCAGUGUAGUGGUGAAAUACGUAGAGAUUGGGAAGAACACCAGUGGCGAAAGCGGCUCACUGGACCACAACUGACGCUGAUGCACGAAAGCUAGGGGAGCAAACAGG